rnacentral:rRNA from 1 species
UACUGAAAUAGAAGACCCACUCUGCUGGGCUUCACUUUUCAAAUUCAAACACCAUGUGCACCGUCUGGGUGAACACCUUGCCUUGUGCAAGGCUACUAGCCCUGUAUUUUUUUUAAAAACACAGGUCAAUGCAUGUGCUAUACAUAUAAAGAAAUAAAACUUUCAACAACGGAUCUCUUGGCUCCCGCAUCGAUGAAGAACGCAGCGAAAUGCGAUAAGUAAUGUGAAUUGCAGAACUCAGUGAAUCAUCGAAUCUUUGAACGCACCUUGCACCCCAUGGUAUUCCGUGGAGUAUGUCUGUCUGAGUGUCAUGAAACUCUCAACCCUCUCACUUUUGCUUGUCAAGGUGCUUGGGCUUGGAUCAUGAGUGCCUGCUGGACCUACGCAUCAGCUCACUCUAAAUGUAUUAGCGGUUUGCUUGUCGUAUCCCUGCAGCUAGAACCGGCGUAAUAGGAUUUAUUCGCUGGGGUGUUGCGGUCGUGAUGGUUGCAUGGCUUACUGCUCUUGCCAUAUAUUCUAAGUGUUUGGCCUCAGAUCAGGCAGGACUACCCGCUGAACUUAA